AGAGUUUGAUCCUGGCUCAGGCCGAACGUUGGCGGCGUGCGUCACACAUGCAAGUCGAACGAUUGAGGGGUGGAGAGUUUACUCGGAGAAAUUUUUAGUGGCGGACGGGUGAGUAACGCGUGGGUAACCUACCCAUAAACCCGGGACAACCCUUGGAAACGAGGGCUAAUACCGGAUAAUCUUAGAUGUUGGCAUCAACGUUUAAGAAAAGGUGGCCUCUGUAUAUGCUACCGAUUAUGGAUGGACCCGCGUCUGAUUAGCUAGUUGGUGGGGUAAAGGCCUACCAAGGCGACGAUCAGUAGCCGGCCUGAGAGGGUGAACGGCCACACUGGGACUGAGACACGGCCCAGACUCCUACGGGAGGCAGCAGUGGGGAAUCUUCCGCAAUGGACGAAAGUCUGACGGAGCAACGCCGCGUGUAUGAUGAAGGUCUUCGGAUUGUAAAGUACUGUCUUUGGGGAAGAACGGUAUGCUUGAAAAUAUUGAGCGUACAUGACGGUACCCAAGGAGGAAGCCCCGGCUAACUACGUGCCAGCAGCCGCGGUAAUACGUAGGUGGCAAACGUUGUCCGGAAUUACUGGGCGUAAAGGGCGAGUAGGUGGUUUAUUAAGUCAGAAGUGAAAACUCCAGGCUCAACUUGGAGACUGCUCCUGAAACUGGUAGACUUGAGUGCAAGAGAGGGAAGUGGAAUUCCUAGUGUAGCGGUGAAAUGCGUAGAUAUUAGGAGGAACACCAGUGGCGAAGGCGACUUCCUGGCUUGUAACUGACACUGAGGCGCGAAAGCGUGGGGAUCAAACAGGAUUAGAUACCCUGGUAGUCACGCCGUAAACGAUGAGUGCUAGGUGUCGGGGGUAUCGACCCCCUCGGUGCCACAGCUAACGCAAUAAGCACUCCGCCUGGGGAGUACGGUCGCAAGACUGAAACUCAAAGGAAUUGACGGGGGCCCGCACAAGCGGUGGAGUAUGUGGUUUAAUUCGACGCAACGCGAAGAACCUUACCAAGGCUUGACAUCCUGUGACGGCUAUGGAAACAUAGACUUCUUAGUUUACUAAGACACAGAGACAGGUGGUGCAUGGUUGUCGUCAGCUCGUGUCCGUGAGGUGUCGGGUUAAGUCCCAUAACGAGCGCAACCCUUAUCGUUAGUUGCCAGCGGGUUAAGCCGGGGACUCUAGCGAGACUGCCACCGUAAGGUGAGAGGAAGGUGGGGAUGACGUCAAAUCAUCAUGCCCCUUAUGUCUUGGGCUACACACGUACUACAAUGGCCUGAACAGAGGGAAGCGAAACUGCGAAGUUAAGCGAACCCCUUAAAACAGGUCCCAGUUCGGAUUGUAGGCUGCAACUCGCCUACAUGAAGUUGGAAUCGCUAGUAAUCGCAGGUCAGCAUACUGCGGUGAAUACGUUCCCGGGCCUUGUACACACCGCCCGUCACACCACGAAAGUCGGCAACACCCGAAGCCGGUGACUCAACCCGAAAGGGAGAGAGCCGUCGAAGGUGGGGUUGGUAAUUGGGGUGAAGUCGUAACAAGGUAACCU
rnacentral:rRNA from 1 species